AUUAUACUCCCUCCGUCCCAAAAUUCUUGCCUUAGCUUUGUCUAGAUACGGAUGUAUCUAUUCACAUUUUAUUGUUAGAUACAGUACAUCUGUAUCCAGACAAAUCUAAGGCAAAAAAAUUUGGACGGACGUAAUACAUA
rnacentral:pre_miRNA from 1 species